rnacentral:rRNA from 1 species
CGGCAGCAGGCCUUUUUAAGGUGCUGGCGAGUGGCAAACGGGUGAGUAACGCGUAGGAACCUGCCUAGAAGCGUGGGAUAACUCGGGGAAACUCGGGCUAAUACCACAUAAAUUCGUUAUGGAGACAUAGGGAACAAAGCUAGGGACUCUUCGGAGCCUGGCACUUUUAGAGGGGCCUGCGUCAGAUUAGCUAGUUGGUGGGGUAAAGGCCUACCAAGGCGACGAUCUGUAGCUGUUCUGAGAGGAAGAACAGCCACACUGGGACUGAGACACGGCCCAGACUCCUACGGGAGGCAGCAGUGGGGAAUAUUGGACAAUGGGGACAACCCUGAUCCAGCGAUGCCGCGUGUGUGAAGAAGGCCUGCGGGUUGUAAAGCACUUUCAGUGGGGAAGAGGAUGCCUGUGUGAAAGCGCAGGUUAUUGGACGUUACCCACAGAAGCAGCACCGGCUAACCCUGUGCCAGCAGCCGCGGUAAUACAGGGGGUGCGAGCGUUAAUCGGAAUUACUGGGCGUAAAGGGCGCGUAGGUGGUUAUAUCAGUCAGAUGUGAAAGACCUGGGCUCAACCUGGGACUGUCAUUUGAGACGGUAAGACUAGAGUAC